CAGUAGCCGCGGUAAUGCGUAGGGUGCGGGCGUUAAUCGGAUUUACUGGGCGUAAAGCGUGCGCAGGCGGCCUGUUAAGACAGGUGUGAAAUCCCUGGGCUCAACCUAGGAAUUGCGCUUGUGACUGGCGGGCUCGAGUACGGUAGAGGGGGGUGGAAUUCCUGGUGUAGCAGUGAAAUGCGUAGAGAUCAGGAGGAACACCGAUGGCGAAGGCAGCCCCCUGGGCCUGUACUGGCGCUCAUGCGCGAAAGCGUGGGGAGCAAACAGGAUUAGAUACCCGCGUAGUCCCUGUCUCUUAUAC
rnacentral:rRNA from 1 species